rfam:Oryctolagus cuniculus chromosome 1, whole genome shotgun sequence.
GGAGCUGUGGCAUAGUGGGUUAACGCCCUGGCCUGAAGCGCCGGCAUCCCAUAUGGGUGCUGGUUCUAGUCCCAGCUGCUCCA